rnacentral:sRNA from 1 species
UCACUGGGAGCGCCCACGGCCGCAAUUUC